rnacentral:rRNA from 1 species
UACGGAGGGUGCAAGCGUUGUCCGGAUUUAUUGGGUUUAAAGGGUGCGUAGGUGGCCUUAUAAGUCAGUGGUGAAAGCCUGCAGCUUAACUGUAGGACUGCCAUUGAUACUGUAGGGCUUGAGUACUGAUGAGGUAGGCGGAAUUGAUAGUGUAGCGGUGAAAUGCAUAGAUAUUAUCAAGAACACCGAUUGCGAAGGCAGCUAACGAAACUAUCACUGACACUGAUGCACGAAAGCGUGGGGAGCGAAUGGG